rnacentral:rRNA from 1 species
AGUGAACGCUGGCGGUAGGCCUAACACAUGCAAGUCGAACGGCAGCACAGGAGAGCUUGCUCUCUGGGUGGCGAGUGGCGGACGGGUGAGGAAUACAUCGGAAUCUGCCCAGUCGUGGGGGAUAACGUAGGGAAACUUACGCUAAUACCGCAUACGACCUUCGGGUGAAAGAGGGGGAUCGCAAGACCUCUCGCGAUUGGAUGAGCCGAUGUCGGAUUAGCUAGUUGGCGGGGUAAUGGCCCACCAAGGCGACGAUCCGUAGCUGGUCUGAGAGGAUGAUCAGCCACACUGGAACUGAGACACGGUCCAGACUCCUACGGGAGGCAGCAGUGGGGAAUAUUGGACAAAGGGCGCAAGCCUGAUCCAGCCAUACCGCGUGGGCGAAGAAGGCCUUCGGGUUGUAAAGCCCUUUUGUUGGGAAAGAAAUCUUUCAGGCUAAUACCCUGGGAGGAUGACGGUACCCAAAGAAUAAGCACCGGCUAACUUCGUG